AUGGCAGAGCCGGAGACGGGGACCACCAUCGUGGCCUCUUAUGUCUUCCAAUUCAAAGUUGAUUACGAACAAAGCCAGCAGCUUCCCAUUCACAAGGCCAUCUAUUCCGACAUCGUCUCCGCCGGAGGACAUCUGUGGAGGAUCAUGUGCUACCCGCGUGGCGAUACCGAGGACGACAAGGGCGAGUAUAUUUCUGUCUACCUCGAGCACAUGAGCAAAUCCACAAGCGUCGGGGCCAUCUUCGAUAUCUUCAUAAUCGGCAGGGACGGCAAAUCACCUACGUGGGACACGUCCAAGAUAUCCAGGACACUCCAAACCUUCGAAAUCAAUGGAGAUAAAGACCAGCGCGACUGCUGGGGAUGGAGUCAGUUCGUCAAGGAAACUAUUUUGGAGCAAGAUUACUUAACAGGGAGACACUUCACAAUUGUAUGUACCAUCAUGAUCAUCGAUGACAGUCCUCCCAUUGCCGUCCCGCCUCCAGACAUCGGAACCCAUCUUAGCCGUCUGCUAGAUCAUGCUGACAGGACAGACGUGUCAUUCGUCGUCGACGAUGAGACAUUCCGUGGUCACCGGGCGGUGCUUGCUGCCCGCUCACCGGUCUUUAGAGCAGAGCUCUUCGGUUCCAUGUCAGAGGCUACAAUGACGUCCAUCACGCUGCACGACAUCACACCUGCAACAUUCAAAGUUAUGCUUCGGUUCAUAUACACGGAUGAAUUGCCCGGAGAAGACGAGCCCGCAGACUCAUCCGUUGAGAUGUUUCAGGAUCUGCUCGCUGCUGCUGACCGGUAUGCACUGGACCGGCUGAAGAUUAUCUGUACCCAGAAGUUAUGGGAAAAAGUAUCGGUAGAUACAGUUGCAACUAUCUUAGCUUGUGCCGAGACCUACAAUUGUCAAGCGUUGAAGAACAAGUGCAUUAGCUUCUUUGUGGCGGAUGAAAAUUUCAAGGAGGCCAUGUUCACCGAUGGUUAUGCGCUACUGGUUCCGAAAUUCCCAUCGAUUACUGCUGAGCUCAAAAGGAGGGUUAGGGCAUAA
rnacentral:rRNA from 1 species